CCCCGUCCAUCGAGUUCCAGCCAAACAGCGUCGCCUCAGAGAUGGCGAACUGCUGCAUGAUGCCUAAAGCAGGGAGGAGGAGGAAGACGCAGAGGAAGAAGAGGAGUGUUAAUGUAGUCUGAAGGUUGGUAUGCCCCGCACCCCCCAUCGGCCCCGCAGAUGGUUUGCCCCAGCUCUGCCAUUCGAUCAUGUGGGCCACGCGACCCUGGGCCAUGGCAGUGGGCUUGGUCACUUUGUCCUUCAUGGAGCGAGUCACACCUGAAACCAGCUGAGAAGUGAUACAUGGCUCAGUAAUAGUCUGAGCCCUGGGGAGAGCAGCUCUGUGGCCUUGAUCCGCCUGACCUUUCUUUAGACCGAGGCCUGGCGGCCGAGCAGCAGGAGGCAGCUCUGUAGGACGAGACAACCCGUCGAUGGUACCGGCUCCGGUUGGCUCGAUUGAUUUUCUUACUGAGGAAAACAAAACUUUAAUGAGCAGCGGACCUUCAGGUUCAGUGUUGGAAACAACGGAGACGUGAAACAGCAGUUCGGAAGAUUCUCAGAGCUGAAGACGGCUUCCUCAGAUUCCUUGUUUCUGUUUGACCGAUGGUCAGCGACGCGAAGAUGCAUCUCUACACGAUAUGAAACAGCUCUGCAGUUUGUUAACGAGCAGAAAGAAACUGAGAAAAGUAAAACACAGGAGGAUGCUGAAGGGCAGCGAGGAGGAAGGAGCGCAGGACGAGACCGAAGAGGCGGAUUUGUGGUGGAAAAUCGGUUCCUUUUAAAGAAUCGCCUCACUUUAACUGCUCCGGGAGGACUAAUAAAGCUGCAGAGCUGCACCACAGGGAGUCAGUCGCUGUUGUUGCUGUGAUGAAGAAGAGGAUCGUCACUCAAACAUCAGCGUGUGUUGAUCUUCUUGCUGAUAACGACAUUGAUAUCCAUCACAGGGCUUCACCAACCAAACCUUUUAUACCUCUAUUACAACAGAAUGAGUGCGUAUAUGCAGCUUCGUCUUCACGGUUCAGUCGAGGUCACGCCGCUCUGCAGAAGUUCCUUGUGAGUUUCAGAGUAACACGGAUGCUCCAGUCGUCUCUGUGCGAGGUGAUGUUCACACCCAGGAGGGAGAAACGUCGCGCUGUCAGAGAUGCUCACGGCCGCCUGUCGAUCAUAUUAUUGAUCGGUCGCCUCAUUCUGUGGAUCCGUCCUCCCUCCCUCCUUCUGUCUUUCUGUCAAAAAUCACACCAUCCAUCUACAGAGUGUGUACGAGUGUUUAGCACACAGAGCAUCCGUCAGUCGGACCGUCAGCGGAGUCGAUAUUCUGGAGUCGUGGAGGGACGAGGGGGGUUUCUCCUGCGUGAGGUCGCGAGGAUGAUGGAAGGAGGAGCAAAUCCAACCAAUCAGCCGGCUUCAGAUCGAUCAGAAACUCUUCUCCACACCGGCUGCAGAGAAAAGUCUCCAGAGUUUCUUAGAAGAAGCGAUCUGAGCGACAGCGGCAGACCUCAGACCAGCCCUGAGUCCCUGUCGCCGGGGAGAGGACGGCAGAUAAGCCGGUGGAGGUGACGAGCUCCUCGACGCCUCAGCAGGAGAAAAAAUCUGACAGAGCCUGAGACAGCACAAAGCCCAGGUGACACAUACAGAGUGGCAGGAAUCACUUUUAAUCUGCAGAACAAGUGACCUUUCCUUCAACAGCUGCUAUAGUUUGUAUUCUGGGCUAAUCAGCAAGCUAACACUCCGAACUAAAAAUUAAAAGCCCCCCGCUAGGAACCCAGUUCUAAACUCCAGUGGGGAGCAAUGUGAAGCUCUUAUUUUGAAGACAAAUUGGACCAGCUUCACUGUUCAUGACCAACUUCGUGCUUCACAUCAUCACGUCACAUGAUUACGCCGACACCAGUCGCAGCUUUUUAGAAAAGAAGGAAUAUUAACUCUCCUUUUUAUAAAGAUAUGGCAGCACAUGCAGAUGUGCUGCCUUUUCUAUCUAAAAGGAGCUCCUGGUUCCCCUCCAGCUCCAGUCAGCUGUCGACAUCACAGAACAGAAACACCCGACAACAGACGUCACCUGCUGAUCGCUGCUGCAGUCGGGCUGAUAAACAGGACUGAAGAUAAAUCCACUUUUUAAUCCCAGAAGUUAAGAAGUGAUCUCUGAGCUCUCCUCCUGUCUGUAAACCGGAUCAGAGCAGCACCUGAUGUGACUCCCUGGAUGUUUACUAUUAUAAUAUAUAUCACACAGAAUGAUUCACAUCUCGUCAGUCUUCAGCAGAUGUUAACACGCUCUGUGUUCGUCGUCCUGGUGCCUCAGCAGGUUUUUCGUCACCUGGACUCAGAUUUUUUUUUUUUUCUUCUUUCUCCCGACACGUCUCACUGUCACAUCCGCUCUUUAACGAGGAGGAAAUACUUUAAAUGUCAUCAGCUUAAAAUGAAAUUAUGAAAGGUCAUCGUCAUAAACAGUUGGAGCCUCCUGAGGUGAUUCAGUCGUUUCAGGGGAAAGAAAUGAAGAAUUAAACUAGUUAAGACGAAUUCUGACUUUGUGGCUGCAGAUUCUGGUUUUAUCUGAUCUUACUGAAUUAUUUCAGGUCCUACCUGCUCUGAUCACCUGCUGCUGGAGUCCCACCUGAUUUUCUCACGUGACGGUCUGACGGCUGCACGCUGCCUGUUUGUUUUGCCCUUUGAAUUUAGUAAAAAGCCUUUUAUUUGCCAGUUGUUUGUGGAUUCAGGAUCUUUUUUUUAU